rnacentral:rRNA from 1 species
CGCGUAGGUGGUUGUGUAAGUCGGAUGUGAAAUCCCCAGGCUCAACUUGGGAACCGCAUCCGAUACUGCAUGACUCGAGUGCAGCAGAGGGAAACGGAAUUCCUGGUGUAGAGGUGAAAUUCGUAGAUAUCAGGAGGAACACCGGUGGCGAAGGCGGUUUCCUGGGCUGACACUGACACUGAGGCGCGAAAGCGUGGGUAGCAAACAGGAUUAGAUACCCUGGUAGUCCACGCUGUAAACGGUGAGUGCUGGGUGUGGGAGGUGUAAUGCCUUCUGUGCCGAAGCUAACGCGUUAAGCACUCCGCCUGGGGAGUACGGGCCGCAAGGUUGAA